ensembl:lncRNA
GUGUAGCUCCCCUCCAUCUGAACAAGGUCGCCGGUAGCAGCCCUCCUCUAUGCUAAACAGAGCUGUCCACACACAGCUGCUGAACAAGUUGUGAAGCAAUUUCACUUCAACGUUGCAUAAUUCCCGCCAAGCCAUUAGGGCCCUCACAGAGCCUAUAAAGAGGUGCAUCCCAAGUGGGGGAGUGUGCUAUUGGUGUGCUGUGUGUGUGUGUCACUAAUUCACGGAUGGGAUAAAUGCAGAGACCAAAUUCCUUGUAUGUACCCGGAAUACAUCUGACAAUUGGCUCAGCGCACCUGAGCAGGAGCGCCCGGACGGGUAC